CCAGACUCCUACGGGAGGCAGCAGUGAGGAAUAUUGGUCAAUGGGCGGAAGCCUGAACCAGCCAAGUAGCGUGCAGGAUGACGGCCCUACGGGUUGUAAACUGCUUUUAUGCGGGGAUAAAGUGAGGGACGUGUCCCUUUUUGCAGGUACCGCAUGAAUAAGGACCGGCUAAUUCCGUGCCAGCAGCCGCGGUAAUACGGAAGGUCCGGGCGUUAUCCGGAUUUAUUGGGUUUAAAGGGAGCGUAGGCCGGGGAUUAAGUGUGUUGUGAAAUGUAGGCGCCCAACGUCUGACUUGCAGCGCAUACUGGUUCCCUUGAGUACGCGCAACGCCGGCGGAAUUCGUCGUGUAGCGGUGAAAUGCUUAGAUAUGACGAAGAACCCCGAUUGCGAAGGCAGCCGGCGGGAGCGCAACUGACGCUGAAGCUCGAAGGUGCGGGUAUCGAACAGGAUUAGAUACCCUGGUAGUCCGCACGGUAAACGAUGGAUGCCCGCUGUCGGCGCCUUGCGCCGGCGGCCAAGCGAAAGCGUUAAGCAUCCCACCUGGGGAGUACGCCGGCAACGGUGAAACUCAAAGGAAUUGACGGGGGCCCGCACAAG
rnacentral:rRNA from 1 species